CCCUCAAGGAAGCCACCGAACCGACGUACGCCGGCCGUAUCCCCUCCCCUCCCUCCGCUCCCUUCGGCAGCCCAUAUAAAUUGCCGCCGCCAUCCGCAGCCAAUCCGCCCGCAACCUCCCAUGGAUCGAAUCCCCACCCCCCAAAACCCUAACCAACACCCAGCGGAGCGAGCCAUCGCCAUGGACUCCGACGAGGAGUGGGUCGUCCUCGACUCCGACAACCCCGCCGACUCCUCGGACGACGACCGCGGCGUCCUCGCGCUCCCCGCCUCCACCUCCCCCCUCGCCCUCUCCUCCUCCUCCGACGAGGACGACGACGACGACGAGGACGAGGAGGACGAGGACGACGACGACGACGGCCUGCAGUCGGCGGCGGGCUCGGAGGAGGAGGAGGACCCGUUCGAGGUGGACGAGGACGAGGACGCGUCGCCGGAGCAGCGGCUCACGCGGCCGCUCUCGGGCAUGUUCCACCACACGCCCUUCGACUCGGUCGCCUACGCGGCCUUCGACCCCGUGCGCAGCGCCAAGCAGCUCAUCCCGGACCCGGCCUUCUCCGCCUUCCCGGAGCGGGUCUCGGUGCUCGCCUCGUCGCGCGGCCUCGUCUGCCUCCGCGGCUGCGCCACCGGCUUCUACUACGUCGCCAACCCGCUCACCUUCCGCCGCGUGCGCCUCCCGUACCAGAACCGCGACCACCGGCUCGACGCCGACCCGGCCGUCGUCAUCACCUUCGAGGACGACGAGGACGCCGCGGGCGCCGUCGGCCUCGGCGCCGGCUUCCGCCACUACCACGUCGUCGUCACCUACCAGGUCCACGACGGCGUCUGGGCCGUCGAGUCCUUCUCCACCCGCACCUGGGACUGGCGCGUCGGGGACGACAUCUGCGCGCCCGAGACGGUCGUCGCCCCGUCCGGGGUCGGCGCGCGCGGCCGAGCCUUCUUCCGCACCACCAUCGGCCACAUCCUCUGCUACACCCCGGAGACGGGCUGCGUCGACCUCAUCCCCGCGCCCCAGGAGGUCGAGGGCCGCAAGGACUGGGAGAUCGGCGAGAUGGAGGGCAACUUCUGCGUCGCCUGCGUCGACCAGGCCGCCAAGGAGGUGGCCGUGCUCUACAUGGUGCCCGGCGACAGCGCCGACCAGGUCACCUGGGCCUGGGCAGGCCAGUUCCACGCCAACAAGAUGGGCUACCACGACAGGAUGACCCUGCUCCGCUCCCAGGGCGCCGCCGAGGUGGUCAUGUGGGAUCCUCUCGAGCAGCUCGUGCUCGCCGUCGACUUCGAUGGCAGGGUCACCCGCUCCAUCGGCCCCCUCUCCGGCGGGAUGUACUACUCGGAUUUCAUCCCCUACGUCAACUCAUACGCCGACAUCUACAGGAAUUCAGAAAGUUGACAAUGUUACUUUCUGUAAUUUUCAGCGAGGAGGGGGUGGGAUCUGUGUUCAAGACCAAUGAUGAAGCCGUGACAUACAAAGUUCCACAAGCAUCUGUCAAAGCAGAAAUUGAUUCCAACUAAAUCUGUACCAAGAAAGGAAAGGAUUUGUUGAUGAUGGAGAAGGAAUAGAAGCUUCCAGAUGUGUGCAGCAUAAGGGAGAGCUAUAUAGAUAUCAUUCUUUGGAUGGCAGUUUUUGGCUGCUUUGCUGCAUAAGCAUUCUCAUGCAGUUUCUCUAGUAAUGCAAAACUAUGCUACGAUCUUGUUUCUUUUUUCUUUUUUCCAAGGGACGAAACUAUGUUCUCUUAUUGCUACUAGUAGGUGUUUUUGUCUGCCAUGUACAUACGUAGUUGGUUAGAUGCAGACUGCCCCCGUCGAGUUCUUAAUUGCUGAAUUCGAUCAUCUGGUGUCCGUGUGAUACCAUGUUAGCAAAUUUCUGGAUGCUUUCUUGAAUGUUUACCCUCGUUCUUGCAUGGCCUCACAUUAUAAUUUCA